GUAAACAACUUGGCUCAUGAAAUAUGCAAAACCCCUCUUGGUUUUUUUCCCUUUAACCCCAUCCUUACUCCUAUCCCUCCUCAGCCCCAUAAACAUUCAUGCUACUGUGCUUGAAUAUGCAUUUUUGAAAAGUGUAUGCAUUUUUAUUAGUGUAUUUUUUAAUGAUAUGGGACUUUAGGAUCUUAUUUUCUACUUUUUUUCACUCAAUAUUCUUUUUAUGAAUCUAUUCUUUUGCAGUUGGUAUUGUAAUCCUAGUUUAUCGCUUCUGAUUGCUGCACAGUAUUCCAUAUUGGACAGCAACACAUGUGACUUCCAUUCCCCAAAUGGAUACCAAGGCUACCCCUACCUCUCAGUGAUAAUCAUCCUCGUCCAUGGUCUCUUGUGGACCUAUGUGUAAUUCCUCGGCAGCAUAUGCCUAAAAAUGAGGAGAUCCAAUCACACGCUGGGACUAACAGGUGGUGAUACCAUCGUGAUCCAGAGAGACUCCAUAACAUUCCUGAAGGUACAUAACAGAGAAAGACCUAGAGGGCCCUGGCCACCCAUAUCUUGUAUUGGUAUCAGUUGUAGUGCUAUAUGUCUUCCCAUUUCCCAAGAAUCUUCUGAAGGAUUAUUUUACAAGCAGAUGGCCUGCCAAGGUGACAGAAAUUCAAUCCAGAAAACACUUCUUUAAAGCACCUGCUGCAUUGUAAGUACAAGGCUGGCUAGAGGAACCACAGAGCCAACUAAGACAGAGUCACUGCCCUUUGCAUUCACAAUCUGGCUUUGGGGGGGAAGAGAGAAAAGACCAUCUACAAGUAAUCCCAACACAAUAUGAUGGCAUAAUUUAGAACAUGCCAUGCCAACAGCGAGCACUAUGGGUGCUGGGUCAGUCUAGACACUGAUACCUGAGAGCAUUAUUUAGAAUAUAAGGACAAAAAGACCUUAACAAAGGAAAUCAGGGAACCACAGGAGGUGGAAAGGAACAUGACACAUUCAACUCACAGGAAAGAGAUGCAGGUGACAUCAACUUGGAUGGAUUAAUGGAUGAGAGGAUGGGUGGUUGGACAAAUUAAUGUAUGCUGAUGAAAGAAAGUGCUUCAUUUCCAAUUUUCCAGAUUCCUGAAGACCCUGUUCCCCUUUGUUGUUGUAAUAAAAAGGAACACUAGGUGGCAUCACACUACCAAAAGUUCUCACCUUUUAAAGCCUCCAGGAGACGCUCAUCCACCAAGAUUGGGUCAGCCCCUAAUUUAGACAAAUUUCACUUCCUCGGGGAGAGAUUUCCUGACCAUCCUUCAACACCAGAUUACCUUUGCAAGUACCAUGUAUUCGACUUCUUGGACCCUCUCACAAUGGUAGUUCAUCACGUGUUCAUGGAAAUGGUUGCUUAAGAUCUGUCUUCUCUACAAGCUAUCAAACAAGAAGGCAAGCCUGCUGCAGACCAAACUUAACAGAACAUUUGUUGAGCAUUUGACAUCGGUUCCCGAAGGAUCUCCAUACAAACUCCACUCUUGAUACUGGAGGAGGCUACAAAGCUGGGGCACAUUUAUCAGGAAGAUUGAAAGAUUGGCCAUGAAGUGGAAGCAGUGGGCGAUCUGCCAUUGCAGGCGAUGAUUUUUACCAGAAGGGGAUGACAGUGUCACAACCACGCAGUUAUCCAACCUGCCUUGCAUUUCAUUGGCUUAACAGCAACUGCGUUUCUCCCAGUCGGAUUACUUUUGGGUAUGACUGGUUCAUUCAGUUGGUGCUCUUGCUGGAGAGGCCAGGCCAAGACUGCACUUUGGUGUUCUUCCUAGAACCAGGGAGGACUUACACAAAGUCACCAGCUAACCGGAUUAUUCAAAAAGACUGAGUAGCUCCACACAACCUGUUCCCACUACAAAUGAAUAAAUAAA